rnacentral:rRNA from 1 species
CACGUAGGCGGGUAUUUAAGUCAGGGGUGAAAUCCCAGAGCUCAACUCUGGAACUGCCUUUGAUACUGGGUACCUAGAGUAUGGAAGAGGUAAGUGGAAUUCCGAGUGUAGAGGUGAAAUUCGUAGAUAUUCGGAGGAACACCAGUGGCGAAGGCGGCUUACUGGUCCAUUACUGACGCUGAGGUGCGAAAGCGUGGGGAGCAAACA